GCGGCAGUACCUCAGUGGUAGAGUCCCAGCUUUGCAUACGGGGAGACCUGGGUUCGAUUCCCGGCUGCUUCU
rnacentral:tRNA from 1 species